rnacentral:lncRNA from 1 species
CUUUAAUGAAUCCAUUUCCUUUUUGGUCAAAAACGUUUUAACCUUUGUUUCUAAGGAAAAAAAAAACUUUAUUAUUCUCUCAACUCACACACCCCAGCUGAAGGCCAAACUUCAACCACUCUAAAGUCCGACUAUGGCGAACGGAAUCGAGCCCUCCGAUGACGUGAAUGCAACUCCAGUGAGUCCCCCUCUUUUCUCUUAUACGCGUUUAUAUUAAAUCUGAAUGAAAAAGGAAAAAAAAGCAUAAAUAAAUUACAGUAAUAACCACCUUAGAAGUAUAUUUUGACUGCUUUCUAUUAAUCUUUGUAUGUAUUUUGUAUACACUUUAUCUGAAAAAAGAAUGAAAAAUCAAAAAAAAAACCCUAUACAAUGAAAAAUUUGAAGGCUUUAUAGCCAAAUACAAACAGUUACUUGCUACUCUCUCGCUCAAGUUGCAGAUCGUGGAGGAGAGCGUCAUGGGGCAUGAUGCAUGCUACACACUGGCUAGGAGUCGUGCUUGAUGUGCCGACGUGCGUGGUGGAGAGGUGCUGAUGGUUGUGAAUGGAGAACGUGGGCACAUGGUGAAGGGAGGCAGUUUCCUUCUUUGCUGGAAAGAGAGAAAAAAAAUUGUGUGGGCUAAGGGUUUUUUAAAAUUUGGGCUUUUGUUUAUUUGGACUUAUUUAAUAUUUUGUUUGUUUCUUUUUUUUUUGGUUUUUGUAUGUUAUGGGCCCGGGUUAAAAAUUGGGUCUACAACUGUCUCUCUUUGCUCGUUGUUGUGUAACAAGAACGGAACAAAGACCUAAAAGGAUCAAUUUUGCCCGGUCUUGCUGAAUCUUUGACUUUUUUGGUGCUCAUCUUCUUCAAGUAGUCUUACAACAACUUCAAGAAGAUAAAGUUUGUGACUUCAACCUGUUCCACUGCAACUUCAGGGAGACAAAGCCGGUGGCUAAAAUCUGCUCCAUAGUAGAUACAUGGAGACAAGACUCGCCAUCUUCGAUCUGCUCCAUAGCCGAUACAUGGAGAUAAGAUCUGUAACUUUCAGUCUGCUUCCUGCAACUUCAAGAAGAUAAGACCUAUAUCUUCAACCUGCUCUCUUGCUACCUUAGAGAGAUAAGGCUGGUGGCUAAAAUCUGUUCCAUAUUCGAUACACAACCUGUUCUCUUGCUAUCUCAGAGAGAUAAGACUGGUGGCUAAAAUCUGCUCCAUAGCCGAUACACAACCUGCUCUCUUGCUACCUCAGAGAGAUAAGGCUGGUGGCUAAAAUCUGCUCCAUAGUCGAUACAUGGAGAUAAGACUCGCCAUCUUCGAUCUGCUCCAUAGCCGAUACAUGGAGAUAAGAUCUGUAAUUUUCAGUAUGCUUCCUGUAACUUCAGGAAGAUAAGACUUGUAUCUUCAACCUGCUCUCUGUAACUUCAGAGAGAUAAAACUGGUGGCUAAAAUCUGCUCCAUAGCCGAUACAUGGAGAUAAGACUCGUCAUCUUCGAUCUGCUCCAUAGUCGAUAC